UGCCCUGGAUUAGGCUUUGGCUUAAGGGAAUGUUGUGGCCGAUUUGAUCUUCUAUCCAGGCCACUAAAACUUUCUCCAUAUUAG
rnacentral:pre_miRNA from 1 species